UGAGGCACAGAAAGCCCAAGCUCUUGCACAAGGAUCAGAAGGGGGUAUAACCAGAAUUUGUUUCUCAGCAUCCUGACCAACAAUUAUUUUACCUACUAAACAGGGAAGCCUUUCAAAUAUAAUCCAGGGUAUCCGCUUCAUUUUACAACUAAAGAAAUGAAGGCUGGGUAAGGAUAAAGGACUCACAAAGAUCGUGUGUUUAGUUUCUGCUGGUCUAGACAUCUGGGUUCCAAAAGAAGAAUGCAUCUCCCAGGAGACAUGACAAUGAUUCCAUUCAACAGGAAGUUGAGACUGCCACCUGAACACUUUGGGCUCCUCAUGCCUCUGAAUCAACGGGCAAAGAAGAGAGUUAUAGAUCCUAACCACCCAGGAGAAAUUCGGUGGCCACUACACAAACAGACUUUUCUGACUCUGCGGCCAGGUGUUUGUAUUUAACUCCACGGUGAGGAGACUCAUCUUCUGACGGACCUAACCUAUACCAUCAAGCUCCAGCACCACAAGCAAAGACAAAAACCUUGCGGAAACUAUUUAACUAACUCCCACAAUUGCAUAAGAAUGUAAGCUGCAGGAGAACAGAAGUUAUGUCUACUUUGAUUACUGACACAUCUCAUCAUUCUAAGGGUGCCUGGAACAGGGUAGUUAGUUGCUCGAUAAACAUUUAUUCAAAGGCAUGAAUGACUGAUAUUAUGAGAAACUGAGGAAUGGACAGAGAGCUGAGGUUAAGAGAGCUGAGGUCAGCAUCAUCGUUCACCUCUUGGAAAUAUGAUAGUGUAGGACUGCCAAACUGUGAGAAUUAGCAGGAAGAGUACAGCAGUUGGGAGUAGGAGAUAUAAUGAAGCAGCUGCGGUUUUGGCAGCCUCAGAUACAGAUGAGAGAAACUACUCUAGAGGAAGAUGACUUAUGGAAAAGAGAAAAUGGAUUCUUGAUUUACUUUGAGAAGAGAUGAGCUGCUCAACUUACCAUAAAUUCUCAUAGGACCUAACUUUUAAUUUCUGAGUUCUAAAGAAAGGUUAACCAAUCUAUAUUUCCUGAACUGUGUCUAAGCUAUGUUUUCAUUGCAUGGCAAUUGUAGAUUGCAAAGUACAUCUGUAUAAUCCUAAGCAUUUCUUGGCUUGCAGUCUGGAAAAUGUCAGUGGCUUAUAUCUCAUGGGAAAUGCCAUAAACA
rnacentral:lncRNA from 1 species